rnacentral:rRNA from 1 species
UUCGCCCUUAGAGUUUGAUCCUGGCUCAGGAUGAACGCUGGCGGCGUGCUUAACACAUGCAAGUCGAACGAGGAUUAUUAUCAAGGAGGCUUCGGCCAACGAGAUUUUAAUCCGAGUGGCGGACGGGUGAGUAACGCGUGGGUAACCUGCCUAUCACAGGGGGACAACAGCUGGAAACGGCUGCUAAUACCGCAUAAGCGCACGGUAUCGCAUGAUACAGUGUGAAAAACUCCGGUGGUGAUAGAUGGACCCGCGUCUGAUUAGCUAGUUGGUGAGGUAACGGCCCACCAAGGCAACGAUCAGUAGCCGAACUGAGAGGUUGACCGGCCACAUUGGGACUGAGACACGGCCCAAACUCCUACGGGAGGCAGCAGUGGGGAAUAUUGCACAAUGGGGGAAACCCUGAUGCAGCGACGCCGCGUGAGUGAUGACGUAUUUCGGUAUGUAAAGCUCUAUCAGCAGGGAAGAAAAUGACGGUACCUGACUAAGAAGCCCCGGCUAACUACGUGCCAGCAGCCGCGGUAAUACGUAGGGGGCAAGCGUUAUCCGGAUUUACUGGGUGUAAAGGGAGCGUAGGUGGUAUGGUAAGUCAGAAAUGAAAAACCCGAGGCUUAACUUCCGGGAUUGCUUUUGAAACUAUCAAACUAGAGUGCAGGAGGGGUAAGCGGAAUUCCUAGUGUAGCGGUGAAAUGCUUAGAUAUUAGGAAGAACACCGGGGGGGAAGGGGCUUAUGGACUGUAAUGACACGGAGGCUCGGAAGCGGGGGGGCAAACAGGAUUAGAUACCCUGGUAGUCCACGCCGUAAACGAUGGAAUACUGGAUGUGCGGGGGACUGACCCCCUGCGUGCCGCAGUUAACACAAUAAGUAUUCCACCUGGGGAGUACGAUCGCAAGGUUGAAACUCAAAGGAAUUGACGGGGGCCCGCACAAGCGGUGGAUUAUGUGGUUUAAUUCGAAGCAACGCGAAGAACCUUACCAGGGUUUGACAUCCUGCUAACGAAGUAGAGAUACAUUAGGUGCCCUUCGGGGAAAGCAGAGACAGGUGGUGCAUGGUUGUCGUCAGCUCGUGUCGUGAGAUGUUGGGUUAAGUCCCGCAACGAGCGCAACCCCUAUUGUUAGUUGCUACGCAAGAGCACUCUAGCGAGACUGCCGUUGACAAAACGGAGGAAGGUGGGGACGACGUCAAAUCAUCAUGCCCCUUAUAUCCUGGGCUACACACGUAAUACAAUGGCGGUCAACAGAGGGAAGCAAAGCCGCGAGGCAGAGCAAACCCCUAAAAGCCGUCUCAGUUCGGAUUGCAGGCUGCAACUCGCCUGCAUGAAGUCGGAAUUGCUAGUAAUCGCAGAUCAGCAUGCUGCGGGGAAUACGAAAGGGGGCCUUGCACACACCGCCCGUCA